rnacentral:rRNA from 1 species
CCCUUGGAUGUUCUGGGCCGCACGCGUGCUACACUGAGUGGAUCAGCGGGUCAGGUUGCGCGAAAGCGUUUCCUAAUCUUGAAAUCCGCUCGUGAUGGGGAUUGACGGUUGCAAUUUUCUGUCAUGAACGAGGAAUACCUUGUAAGCGCGAGUCAUCAUCCCGCGCUGAAUACGUCCCUGCCCUUUGUACACACCGCCCGUCGCUCCUACCGAUUGAGUGGUCCGGUGAGGCUUUGGGAUCUGAGCGGAAAGAGCGUUUCGCUCGUUCUGCCCGGAAAACUCAGUCGAACCUUAUCAUUUAGAGGAAGGAGAAGUCGUAACA